rnacentral:rRNA from 1 species
GUGUUGCCUGCAAGGGCGUAUGGUGGAUGCCUUGGCAGACAGGACCGAUGAAGGACGUUUGAGGCUGCGAUAUGCCUCGGGGAGCCGCCAACAGGGCUUUGAUCCGAGGAUUUCCGAAUGGGGGAACCCACCGGCCGUCAUGGGCCGGUACCGCCGUGUGCGGGGGUACGCAGGGAAGUGAAACAUCUCAGUACCUGCAGGAAAGGAUAUUCCGUGAGUAGUGGCGAGCGAAAGCGGAUCAGGCCAAACCUUGCGCGUGUGAUACCCGUCGGGGGUUGCGCGCGGGGUGUAGAGGGAUCGCGUUUGCCGGCUCCGACGGGCCGGCCGUCAGUUGCAUAAAACCAUGUGCCAGGGGAACCGGGUUGAAUACCGGGCCGCAGAGGGUGAGGGCCCCGUACCCGAACGCGCAUGGUCUGGCGAUCGCGUCUCCCAAGUAGCACGGGCCCCGUGGAAUCCCGUGCGAAUCUGUCCCGACCGUGGGAUAAGCCUAAAUAUUCCUGUCUGACCGAUAGCGAACGAGUACCGUGAGGGAAAGGUGAAAAGUACCCCGGGAGGGGAGUGAAACAGUCUCUGAAACCAUGCGCCUACGAACCGUCGGGGCCCUCUUGUGGGGUGACGGCGUGCCUAUCGAAAAAUGAGUCUGCGAGUCAGUGGCAUGUGGCGAGCAUAACCCGUGUGGGGUAUGCGUAGCGAAGGCGAGUCUUAAAAGGCGUUUGAGUCGCGUGUCCUGGACCCGAAGCGGGAUGAUCUAGCCCUGAGCAGGUUGAAGCGCGGGUAAGACCGUGUGGAGGACCGAACCCACCUGGGUUGAAAACCGGGGGAUGACUUGGGGCUAGGGGUGAAAGGCCAAUCAAAUUCCGUGAUAGCUGGUUCUCUCCGAAAUGCAUUUAGGUGCAGCGUCGGAUCGAUUACAUCCGGGGGGUAGAGCGACUGGAUGCUUGCGGGCCCAUAUCGGGUACCAACAGCAACCAAACUCCGAAUACCCGUGAUGCGUAUCCCGGCAGUGAGUCGGCGGGGGAUAAGCUCCGUCGUCGAAAGGGAAACAGCCCAGAUCGUCGUCUAAGGUCCCCAAGCGUGUGCUAAGUGGGAAAGGAUGUGGAGUCGCAUAGACAGCCAGGAGGUUGGCUCAGAAGCAGCCACCCUUGAAAGAGUGCGUAACAGCUCACUGGUCUAGUGGUUCCGCGCCGACAAUGUAGCGGGGCUCAAGCACACCACCGAAGACGCGGCAGUAGCUUUGCUACUGGGUAGGAGAGCGUCCCAUGCGGGGCGAAGCGGCGGCGCAAGCCCGCCGUGGACCGCAUGGGAGUGAGAAUGCAGACAUGAGUAGCGAAAGACGGGUGAAGAUCCCGUCCGCUGGACGACCAAGGGUUCCAGGGCCACGUUCAUCGUCCCUGGGUGAGUCGGGUCCUAAGGCGAGGCCGACAGGCGUAGUCGAAUGGACGAACGGGUCGAUAUUCCCGUACCGGCAUGCAACCGGCAAAACCGAAUCCGCGAGUACUAACUUCCGGGUCCGGGCUCACGUCUCCUUCGGGAGCCGGAUGCCCUGGCCUGUUGGGACCGUAACGGUAGUAGGUCAGCGCGGGAGUGACGCAGAAGGGUAGCCGGCCGCGGAGGUGGUCUUCCGUGGUCAAGCACGCAGCCCGUCCCACAGGCAAAUCCGUGGGGCGCGUGGGCGAGGUGCGAUGAUGGGCGCCGCAGGGCGCGAUAUCCGGUGAUCCCGGCUGCCGAGAAAAGCUUCGGCGUGAGGCGGCAUGCCGCCCGUACCCCAAACCGACACUGGUGGUCAGGUAGAGAAUACCAAAGCGAUCGAGCGAAUCCUGGUCAAGGAACUCGGCAAAUCACUCCCGUUCCUUCGGUUUAAGGGAGACCCCCGAUGGUGAAGCGGCUUGCCCGCGGAGCUUUUGGGGGUGGCACAGACCAGGGGGUAGCGACUGUUUACCAAAAACACAGGAGCGUGCGAAGGCGCAAGCCGCUGUAUACGCUCUGACGCCUGCCCGGUGCCGGAAGGUUAAGAGGAUCCGUCAGGCCUCGGCCGAAGCGGUGAAUUCAAGCCCCGGUAAACGGCGGUGGUAACUAUAACCAUCCUAAGGUAGCGAAAUUCCUUGUCGGGUAAGUUCCGACCUGCACGAAUGGCGUAACGACUUCCCCACUGUCUCGACCAGGAGCUCGGCGAAAUUGCAGUACGAGUAAAGAUGCUCGUUAAGCGCAGAAGGACGAAAAGACCCCGGGACCUUUACUAUACCUUGGUAUUGGCAUUCGGUGUGGAUUGUGUAGCAUAGGCGGAAGGCUUCGAAGCCACGGCGCCAGCCGCGGUGGAGCCGCAAGGUGAAAUACCGCUCUGUUCGCAUUGGAUGUCUAACCUCGACCAGUCAUCCUGGUCAGGGACAGUGCCUGGCGGGUAGUUUAACUGGGGCGGUUGCCUCCCAAAGAGUAACGGAGGCGCUCAAAGGUUCCCUCAGCCCGGUUGGCAAUCGGGUGGCGAGUGUAAGUGCACAAGGGAGCUUGACUGCGAGACUGACGGGUCGAGCAGGGACGAAAGUCGGAACUAGUGAUCCGGUGCCGGUGUACGGACGCGGCAUCGCUCAACGGAUAAAAGGUACCCCGGGGAUAACAGGCUGAUCAUUCCCAAGAGUCCAUAUCGACGGGAUGGUUUGGCACCUCGAUGUCGGCUCGUCGCAUCCUGGGGCUGGAGCAGGUCCCAAGGGUUCGGCUGUUCGCCGAUUAAAGCGGCACGCGAGCUGGGUUCAGAACGUCGUGAGACAGUUUGGUCUCUAUCCUCUGCGCUCGUCGGAAUGUUGAGGAGGCCUGCCCAUAGUACGAGAGGACCUGGGUGGACGAACCUCUGGUAUGCCGGUUGUCACGCCAGUGGCACGGCCGGUUGGCUACGUUCGGAAGGGAUAACCGCUGAAAGCAUCUAAGCGGGAAGCCUGCUCCAAGAUAAGCAUUCCAUAGGACUACGGGUCCUUGAAGUCCCCAUGCAGAACACGUGGUUGAUAGGCCGGACGUGGAAGCCCCGCGAGGGGUGGAGCCGACCGGUACUAACGGACGAAAGGCAACAC